UUGGAUCCUAAAAAGUAAUUCCCAGGAAGGUAUCAUACGUAUUGUACUUGAUAUUGGGUUUCGUACUAUAAUGCUUCUUUACCAUAUUGAUUAUUUUACAAAAAUGGUCUGAGAUAUGGAAUCAUGCCUACCUUCGAUUGUUCGUUUGGAACAUCAGAUUUGUCGAUCAUGGCAUCUACGUGGCAGGCCCUUAGAUAUUUUGCAAAUUCGGUCAUAACACGAACGUGAGCAUCACAGACAGGGUCAUACAUCAGCAGAAUACUUGGCCCUCUUUUUGCAUACCUUUGCGCUUCCACCAUUUAAAUCCCAGCGUGGAAGCGAGGAUAAACACACCCACUGCCACUACUGGACUGACUAUCAUUAUAAUCACCCGUCCACUGCUCUGUUCUGCAAGAUCAAAGAUAAUUACUUAGAUCCUGAGAAUAGUUGAAAUAAAUCUCUGUACACAUCAA